rnacentral:rRNA from 1 species
CUUAGCCCUAAACUCAGAUAUUUAUCGUACAAAAAUAUCCGCCAGAGAACUACGAGCAAAACGCUUAAAACUCAAAGGACUUGGCGGUACCUCAAACCCCCCUAGAGGAGCCUGUUCUAUAAUCGAUAACCCACGAUACACCUCACCAUCUCUUGCCAAUCCCGCCUAUAUACCACCGUCACCAGCCUACCCCUUGAGGGAUCUAAUAGCAAGCAAGAUAACAAAAAUAGUUAAAAAGUCAGGUCAAGGUGUAGCUAAUUGAGAUGGAAGAAAUGGGCUACAUUUUCUACAUUAGAAAUAAACUUACGGAAGGGAUUAUGAAAUUAAUUCUAUAAGCAGGAUUUAGCAGUAAACCCGGAUCAGAGUGCCUAGUUU